UUAUGCAGUUUCUCAAAGGAAGGUGCCACUGCCUGAUGGGAAGGAGGAAAAGUGCAUCAAAGCCCAUUUGGAAACUGCAUGGAAAGGAUUCCUCUGAGGAGAUGCUUUACCGGAUGCAAAGGAGGACACUCCUAGCCUGCCUGCAUGUCACCUUCUAUGCUUCGGUUUCCUCCAUCCUACAUAAGCAAAAUUAUCAUUUUUCUACAAGGAUAGUGGUGGAUACAGUUACCCAAGUCACCAAUGUUUUUUGAGGUUUACCAUAUUAACAUGCCUGCUGUAUUAGUCAUGUUUCAUGGAACAUGUCCUGUGGAUCUUAGGACUAAUUCUGAAAGGUGUUAGUAAAAAUUGGUCUGCAGCUAGAACAGAAAUGAAAAAUGUAGAGUAUCUUUUAAUGGAUGUGAUACAGGAAUUGACUUUUAAUUUUUCUGAAUAUCUUAUCUGAACAGUAAAAGUAAGCUGAAAAGCACAUUGUGACUUAUUUGAACAAUAAAAGGCAU